UGGUUGAGCUGGUUAGGAUACCUGGUUUUCACCCAGGCAACUCGGGUUCAAAUCCCGA
rnacentral:tRNA from 1 species